rnacentral:rRNA from 1 species
AGAGAAGCUUGCUUCUCUUGAGAGCGGCGGACGGGUGAGUAAUGCCUAGGAAUCUGCCUGGUAGUGGGGGAUAACGCUCGGAAACGGACGCUAAUACCGCAUACGUCCUACGGGAGAAAGCAGGGGACCUUCGGGCCUUGCGCUAUCAGAUGAGCCUAGGUCGGAUUAGCUAGUUGGUGAGGUAAUGGCUCACCAAGGCGACGAUCCGUAACUGGUCUGAGAGGAUGAUCAGUCACACUGGAACUGAGACACGGUCCAGACUCCUACGGGAGGCAGCAGUGGGGAAUAUUGGACAAUGGGCGAAAGCCUGAUCCAGCCAUGCCGCGUGUGUGAAGAAGGUCUUCGGAUUGUAAAGCACUUUAAGUUGGGAGGAAGGGUUGUAACCUAAUACGUUGCAAUCUUGACGUUACCGACAGAAUAAGCACCGGCUAACUCUGUGCCAGCAGCCGCGGUAAUACAGAGGGUGCAAGCGUUAAUCGGAAUUACUGGGCGUAAAGCGCGCGUAGGUGGUUCGUUAAGUUGGAUGUGAAAUCCCCGGGCUCAACCUGGGAACUGCAUUCAAAACUGACGAGCUAGAGUAUGGUAGAGGGUGGUGGAAUUUCCUGUGUAGCGGUGAAAUGCGUAGAUAUAGGAAGGAACACCAGUGGCGAAGGCGACCACCUGGACUGAUACUGACACUGAGGU